rnacentral:lncRNA from 1 species
AUGUAUUGGUUCGUAUUCGGUUUUUCGGUUUUUAUGGUGGUCGGGACUCAAAGUCAGAAUGAUCAUUCUGAUGAUCCUUCCGAUGAUCAGUAUUCUGAUGAUCCUUCCGAUGAUCAGUAUUCUGAUGAUCCUUCCGAUGAUCAGUAUUCUGAUGAUCCUUCCGAUGAUCAGUAUUCUGAUCAUCAUGGUGUGGAUAUGAACACGACUGAGUGUUCAAAGAAAAAAAACAAUAGAAACGAUAAAGCAAUCGUCAUAUUCGAAGACGAUGAAAUUGUCUACGAUAAAGCCGCAG